rnacentral:ribozyme from 14 species
AACACACACCGAACCGGAGAAAGAAGUGAAAACGAAAAAAAAAAGUAGACAGUGAAUCAUAAAAUAC